CAGCAGCCGCGGUAAUACAGAGGGUGCAAGCGUUAAUCGGAAUUACUGGGCGUAAAGCGCGCUUAGGUGGUUUGUUAAGUUGGAUGUGAAAUCCCCGGGCUCAACCUGGGAACUGCAUCCAAAACUGGCAAGCUAGAGUAUGGUAGAGGGUGGUGGAAUUUCCUGUGUAGCGGUGAAAUGCGUAGAUAUAGGAAGGAACACCAGUGGCGAAGGCGACCACCUGGACUGAUACUGACACUGAGGUGCGAAAGCGUGGGGAGCAAACAGGAUUAGAUACCCCAGUAGUCCCUGUCUCUUAUAC
rnacentral:rRNA from 1 species